UGGAUGGAGAGUUUGAUCCUGGCUCAGGACGAACGCUGGCGGCGUGCCUAACACAUGCAAGUCGAGCGGGUAACGGAGGUCGGUCAUCGGAGGUCAGAAGUCAGAUAAGAAGCAAGUGGCCACAGGCCAAUUGCGACAAAAGAUCUGACAUCCGAUUUCCGACGACCGACUUCCGUUGCCAGCGGCGGACGGGUGAGUAACGCGUGGAUAACCUGCCCAUUAGACCGGGAUAACGCUGGGAAACUGGCGCUAAUACCGGAUACGCUCCCUGCCCCGCAUGGACUAAGGAGGAAAGGGGAAACCCGCUAAUGGAUGGGUCCGCGUCCCAUUAGCUAGAUGGUGGGGUAACGGCCUACCAUGGCGACGAUGGGUAGCCGGCCUGAGAGGGUGACCGGCCACACUGGGACUGAGACACGGCCCAGACUCCUACGGGAGGCAGCAGUGGGGAAUCUUCCGCAAUGGGCGAAAGCCUGACGGAGCGACGCCGCGUGAGCGAAG
rfam:Desulfotomaculum australicum DSM 11792 genome assembly, contig: EJ60DRAFT_scaffold00034.34